UCGACGGCAGCACGGGAGCAAUCCUGGUGGCGAGUGGCGAACGGGUGAGUAAUGUAUCGGAACGUACCUUUCAGUGGGGGAUAACGUAGCGAAAGUUACGCUAAUACCGCAUAUUCUGUGAGCAGGAAAGCAGGGGAUCGCAAGACCUUGCGCUGAUUGAGCGGCCGAUAUCAGAUUAGCUAGUUGGUGAGGUAAAGGCUCACCAAGGCGACGAUCUGUAGCGGGUCUGAGAGGAUGAUCCGCCACACUGGAACUGAGACACGGUCCAGACUCCUACGGGAGGCAGCAGUGGGGAAUUUUGGACAAUGGGGGCAACCCUGAUCCAGCCAUGCCGCGUGAGUGAAGAAGGCCUUCGGGUUGUAAAGCUCUUUCAGCCGGGAAGAAAUCACAUGGGUUAAUACCCUGUGUGGAUGACGGUACCGGAAUAAGAAGCACCGGCUAACUACGUGCCAGCAGCCGCGGUAAUACGUAGGGUGCGAGCGUUAAUCGGAAUUACUGGGCGUAAAGCGUGCGCAGGCGGUUUGUUAAGAUAGGCGUGAAAUCCCCGGGCUCAACCUGGGAACUGCGUUUAUGACUGGCAGGCUAGAGUAUGGCAGAGGGGGGUGGAAUUCCACGUGUAGCAGUGAAAUGCGUAGAGAUGUGGAGGAACACCGAUGGCGAAGGCAGCCCCCUGGGCCAAUACUGACGCUCAUGCACGAAAGCGUGGGUAGCAAACAGGAUUAGAUACCCUGGUAGUCCACGCCCUAAACGAUGUCAACUAGGUGUUGGGUGGGUAAAACCAUUUAGUACCGGAGCUAACGCGUGAAGUU
rnacentral:rRNA from 1 species